CGUUCUCCAAGCCUGGAAGUACGGCGCCCUUCACCCGGUCCUGCAGGGUGAAAAGGCGCUGGAAGAGGUGCUGGGAGGCCGUACUCCUAUUCUCCAAGGGCAGGGGAAAGGCUUGGCUCCCCCUUAAGGCGGGUGUUCUCAAAUUUCUGAGAAGUGUCUGCAGCUGGUCACCCUGAAAGGACAAACCGGGACCGACUCCAUUUUCUGCUGUGCCCUCCGUCUUGAGAACCUGAGCUGCUCUGGGAACCCUCACUGCCCAAUCCUCCUCCACAGGCUCACCGUCCAUUUCCCUAGUUGCUCAUCUUCUUGCCCAACACUGGCCUUCAAUUUGAAGCCACGAAACUGCAAAUGGAGAUAGAACCUGGAAUAAAAGUGCCCAUCUUCCAAGGCCCUCUCAACUGACCACUGAUGGAGACCUAACUGCACCCCUUACUGCACCACCCCUCUCAGCAUGAAGCAGCCAGAGUGGUCAUCGCCCCCUUUCCCUAGCAGCAGCUAGGGUCUCUAUAUGUAGAGGGGGAAAUGGGACAGGGACUAUGGAUGUAGUCAGAGUAGGGUGAGGGCCCCUGGAUGGGGGUAGGGUGAGAUAUUUGCAGUCAGAGCAAUGUAACCACAUGCAAGGAAACCCCCCUGCUAAAACUCUAUGUUAAACAUUGAGCUCUAGAAUCAUUCUUCAGUAAAAUCAGUUAAUGUUCCCCAGAUAAAGAAGAGUAGCACAUGUUUUAUUAUGCUAACCAUUUAUAAUCAUGUGUAAGGUUCUCUUUAGCAUGCUAAAAGGCCCAGGUCUAAGUGCUGUCUUUCUCCUUCAGAUCUGAUGAAGUGAUUUUGCAAACUGGGCAACUAAUUUAGCAAGUAAGCCCAGGCAUAAACAACACAGUAAAAGGCAGGAAAGAUUCCACCUUAAAGAUAAGAUUGCAUUUUAAUACCCAAGAAGUUAAGAUGUUAAGAAAUUCUUAACUUAUCCUUUAGCAAACAAUACCUCGGCCCACCUUGGGGGCUGAGCAGGUGACCUUGUUUCAUAUGCCCCAAGACCAAGAUGCUGGUAUCUCAGGGAGAAAUCAUCAGAGGAAGUUUCUUGUGUUAAGUUAAUUCUAAAUAUUCAGAGACCACUUAACAAGUUCACACCCCUAAAUUUUUCAUAUUCUCGAAAAAUCCUCAGCUGCCUACAAAACUCCCUAGACAACGCGCCACCACGGACUCUCUUGUCCCCUCCUGGUGUGAGCCGGGAGCUCUAUUCCUUCACUGUAUCUCUAAAUAAAAGCAUGUAUCUUGGUCUCCUA